ACCUAUAGCCAAACCACCCUGAAAGCAAACAAUCUCAGGAGCUAAGCAGGGUCAGGCCUGUUUAGUAUUUAGUACUUAGUUAGAUAGGAGAAAUAUCCAGAAUGGACUGGAAUUUUAGGAA
rnacentral:rRNA from 1 species